rnacentral:misc_RNA from 1 species
UUCUUGCUUUGAAAUUCUGUCUUUAUUAAAAGGAAAAUUACAAUUUGAUUUGAACUCUGAAAGUGAAAUCAUACAAUUCAAUGAACAAAUUUUAAGGUUCAAACACAAAAUUACACAAUUGCAAGUAAAUUUCACAAAAUUUUGUAGAAUUCAUCAAUUCAUUAAAUUGGGAAAUUGGAAUUUUUCCCUUCCUAAGUCAGCAGAGGCUACAUAAAGCAUCACAAAAGUAACCCAUAUGAUACAGCACAGAGCAGAAGUAAAUAAGCAGUCCAAAGAGCAAAUUACCUAUUGAACAUAUCAAAUCAAGAAUGAUCACAGAGAAUAUGCAAUGGAUCUGAUAAAACUUUCGAUGUUCCAAUUUCAUAACUCAAAACUAAAACUCACUAAAAGCCCAAAACCCACUCAAUCUCCCGAAAUACAAAAACCCUAAUCUACAUCUCACAAUAGCUUCCAGGAAAAAGGUUUUCAAACCUCAUCUUCGUGAAGAAGCAUAUUAGGAAUCCCUUUAUUCACUGGGAACCUACGACCCGUCUCAGGACAAACCAAAGCCCCCUCCUCAAGAUGAACUUCCAAAAGCGCGUGAUGAAACUUCCUCAGAAAUUCAUCCGAAUCAAGCAUCGACGAUUCUGCCUCCUCCGGUAAUUCAACGUAGCCCAUGGUUCUCGCCGCAUCGACGAGAGCCUUCCACUCGAUCUUGGAGAACAUGUUUUUGAGGAAAUCGGGGUUGAAGUCGACUUGCUUUUCCAUCACUUUCUCUACCUCGAUUCGCAGAGGGAAGCCAUUAGAGACCCCCUUGAUGUUGGAGGAUAGCAUGUUGUGAGUGAGGAGCCUCAUCUCUCUCCUUCAGCAGUAGCAACUCGGUGGAGGGAUCAUGAAAUAACACAAGG